CCCUUAGGUACUAACAUGGGCCCCCAUAUAUGGAUUCUAAUGGUGCAGGGGCGCACUUGCUAUCGGGCAACUUGGCAACCUGGCCAGUCUGCCACUGUGUG